rnacentral:lncRNA from 1 species
AGGGGUCGGAUAAGGGUUGUAGAGGCGGUUAAAAGAGGAAGAAUCGGAUUUUGACAAAUUUUUCCGGCACUACGGAAAAACUGUGUCGAAAUCCCAACUUCGGCAAAUUAUUUAGGGGGACAAACGACCUCCGAUAGCAAUGCAUGUUACCUCUUUAGAAUCCCCUAUGAGUGUAGAAUGUUAGGUAAAAAUUUUAUCAAAUUUGGAGUUUGGAAAGUGGAUCAAACCCAGGAUAAAGUAACCGGCUGUCGGUCCGGGUUACUGUUCAUCCGAGUGGGAAAAUAGGGGAUUUCAUGCCAUAAUAGGGUAUUAAGCCCAGAUUAAGCUAAGGGAGACCUUGUACUCGUGCAAGGGAGUCCCUAAUACACAUAAAUGAUGAGUUAAUUAAUAGAAAAAAAAAAGAGGAAGAAAAGAAAAGAUUUAGGGAACGGAGGAGUUGAAUCAAUUAAAGUUCCCUAUAUUAUAAUUGGCACGUAGAUUAUAGCCCUUGAUACAAAACUAAAUGUAUUGUAAAUGCAUGUCACAGUUGGGCAAGAAGCUAGGAAACAAGAGGAAGAAGUUUCCCACUGCCUGCUGUAGAUUUUUGGAGGCGUAUCAGGGCUGUGCCGGAUUGACAGGUGAGUGGGAGCUUGUACUUUGCACCAUGAGCAU